CGGCGCGUCGCCCAGUUGGUAGGGCAGCGGACUUUUAAUCCGCAAGGCGUGGGUUCGAACCCCACCGCGCCGACCA
rnacentral:tRNA from 1 species